UACGGGGGGGCCGAGCGUUGUUCGGAAUUACUGGGCGUAAAGGGCUCGUAGGCGGCCAACUAAGUCAGAGGUGAAAUCCCGCGGCUUAACCGGGGAACUGCGUCUGAUACUGGAUGGCUUGAGUGUAGGAGAGGGAUGCGGAAUUCCAGGUGUAGCGGUGAAAUGCGUAGAUAUCAUGAGGAAGACCAGUGGCGAAGGCGGGUCUCUGGACAGUUACUGACACUGAGACACGAAGGCCAGGGGAGCAAACGGG
rnacentral:rRNA from 1 species